UACGUAGGAGGCAAGCGUUGUCCGGAAUUACUGGGCGUAAAGCGUGUGUAGGUGGCUACCUAAGUCGAUUGUGAAAUCCCUGGGCUCAACCUGGGAAUUGCAGUCGAUACUGGGAAGCUCGAGUUCGGUAGAGGACGGCGGAAUUCCCGGUGUAGCGGUGAAAUGCGUAGAUAUCGGGAGGAACAUCGAUGGCGAAAGCAACCGUCUGGGCCUGAACUGACACUGAGACACGAAAGCGUGGGGAGCAAACAGG
rnacentral:rRNA from 1 species